CCCAAGGAGGGGCUCGCGUCUGAUUAGCUAGUUGGUGAGGUAAUAGCUUGGUCGCGAUCUCGCGAGGGUGAGCUAACUCCAAAAACCCGUCCUCAGUUCGGAUUGCAGGCUGCAACUCGCCUGCAUGAAGCAGGAAUCACUAGUAAUCGCCGGUCAGCCAUACGGCGGUGAAUCCGUUCCCGG
rnacentral:rRNA from 1 species